rnacentral:rRNA from 1 species
CCCUUAGAUGUUCUGGGCUGCACGCGCGCUACACUGACACACUCAGCGAGUUCCUGUACCGAGAGGUUCGGGUAAUCAUGUGAGCGUGUGUCGUGAUGGGGAUAGAAUAUUGUAAUUAUUGCUCUUCAACGAGGAAUUCCUAGUAAGCGCAAGUCAGCAGCUUGCGCUGAUUACGUCCCUGCCCUUUGUACACACCGCCCGUCGCUCCUACCGAUUGGGUGAUCCGGUGAAUGACUCGGACUUUGACGUUCCUAGACACUAGGUUCGUCGAGGGAAGUUUUGUGAACCUUAUCACUUGGAGGAAGGAGAANUCGUANCA